GCCUGGGUGGCUCAGUCGGUUAAAGCACCCGACUUCGGUUCAGGUCAUGAUCUCACAGUUCGUGGGUUUGAGCCCCGCGUCAGGCU
rnacentral:tRNA from 1 species